ACGCUGGCGGAAUGCUUAACACAUGCAGUCGAGCGGUAACAGGCCUUCGGGUGCUGACGAGCGGCGGACGGGUGAGUAACGCGUAGGUAUCUGCCCAGAGGUGGGGGAUAGCCCGGGGAAACCCGGAUUAAUACCGCAUGACCUCUUCGGAGCAAAGUGGGGGAUCGUAAGACCUCACGCCUUUGGAUGAGCCUACGUCCGAUUAGCUUGUUGGUAGGGUAACGGCCUACCAAGGCGACGAUCGGUAGCUGGUCUGAGAGGAUGAUCAGCCACACUGGGACUGAGACACGGCCCAGACUCCUACGGGAGGCAGCAGUGGGGAAUAUUGGACAAUGGGCGAAAGCCUGAUCCAGCAAUUCCGCGUGUGUGAAGAAGGCCUUAGGGUUGUAAAGCACUUUAGUUCGGGAAGAAAAAGCUCUGGCCAAUACCCAGUGCCUUGACGGUACCGAAGGAAUAAGCACCGGCUA
rnacentral:rRNA from 1 species